rnacentral:rRNA from 1 species
GCAAGUCGAACGAGAAGCUUCUUCGGAAGUGGACAGUGGCAGACGGGAGAGUAACGCAAGGGGAUCUGCACAGAGGUUCGGAACAACCAUUGGAAACGAUGGCUAAUACCGGAUAAGCCCUUAGGGGGAAAGAUUUAUUGCCUUUGGAUGAACCCGCGUAAGAUUAGCUAGUUGGUGAGGUAAUGGCUCACCAAGGCGACGAUCUUUAGCUGGUCUGAGAGGAUGAUC